rnacentral:tRNA from 1 species
UGGGGCAGUAGCUCAGUGGUUAGAGCCGCGGACUCAUAACCCGUUGGUCACAGGUUCGAAUCCUGUCUGCCCCAU